UGUGCGGUUUGAGGACAGGACUCAAGGGCAUGGCAAAUCCCAGCUAGCUCCCCACGUGUCCUCCGCCCGCACCACCGUCUGCUAGGGGCGGGGCGCGUCAUUAUCCCAGCCUAGCGUACCGGGGCUCCUGCACUUCGGCCGGUCCUGGCUGCCGAUUGGUUGGCGAGCGUGGGAAAGCGCUCGUGCCCACGGCCCCACCGCCCGCGCCGCAUAAAGGCACCGCCGCCGCUCGCCUCGGCGUUUCGGCCACCGUCCGUGCCGUGCGCUCUGGCCCCCGCGGGCCUGGCUCCAGGCGCAGCCCCCUGCCGACUCUCGAAGUAAAGGGCAGUCCGGCUCCCGGGCGGCGGCAGCGCGAGGGCGCACCCGCGGGUCUUGGCAGGGUCCGGCGGCCGCCCCUCACCAGGUCUCUGCUCUUCCCCCUGUUUGUGGAGUUCGGGGCGCCCGCCCAGCUCCGAGCUGGGGAAGUGACAUCGUGGAGACGGAGGUGGCAACAUCCCCGCCCCCGGCGGCUCGGCAAACCGCGGAUGAGUCCAGGGAAGCCGUGGCGCGCUGCCUCCGAGAAGCCUUCCCGUCCUCUCCCUGCACCACGUGCGGAUGCACACCCUGGCUGAGCUGAACAGCGACAUGCAGAAGAGAUCCCUGCCGCGGCCUGAAAGCAGCGCGCCCCCUGCGCCCCCUGCGCCCCUGGCCACAAGGGCCCCAGUGGCAGUUGCCAGACCCCUUGGACGGAGAGGAGAGGGCUGGGGCUGGCGGGGCGCAGCGCUCCUCCUGCAGUAGGGAAUUUUGUUUCCCCUCCUAUUUGCUGUCUGGCACUAGAGCCCAGGCUGAGCAGCCCAGCCUGCCAGCUGGUGGGGCCCCUCAGCCGGCAGCAGUGCCCCAGGUCUUCCUCCUGAAGGAGGGGUCCUGAGGGCAAGGGUUUUGUAUGUCACAGCUGCUGUAAAUGGUCAAGAUUGUCCAUGGCAGAGGGAGCUGGGGCAGCCACUUCUGCCUGAUCAGCACAGCCACGCCCUGCGUCUGGACCUCUGCUUCUUCCAAGUUGGGAAAGAACUGGAUG
rnacentral:lncRNA from 1 species